CUUUGUUUUGUAGCUUAUUACCAAGUGCUAAAGGUUAGGAAACAUUGGAUUAAAGAGUUCCCACAUAACUAGUUUAGGGAUAGUGUUAGGAAUAAAGGUUAGGGGAAAUGAUGACGGCAUAGCGUUAGGGAUUGUGACUUUCCCUUAAAAUCAAAUUUCAGAAUCUAUACUGUAGUUGAAAGUUGUUUUAGGGCCUUAUUCAGAAUUAGACUGUGAUGAUAAAUUCCAAGGGCUAAUUCAUAUAUGGGGUUUGGGGUAGGAAUUUAGGAUUAGAAUGCAUUAAAUUUUAGGCUAAGAAUGAUGGUUAAGUAUUAAGAGAUAUAGUUAAAAAUUAAGAUUUAGAUUAUAUCUAAAAUUAUAGUUUGGAUAUAAGUUAGAGAUGGGGGAAAAGAAUUUUUGUAGAUGAAUAUAGAUUAGAAUUAGAAUUCAAUCUCAAUUUAUAUACUAGUGCAAUCAUUAUAUUUGUGCUAAAGGUUAUAGUUUAAAAACAAGGCAGUGUUUUUCACCUUUUUUUUUCAUUCCUAGUGUCUUUUCACCAUUAUUCUCACUAUUAGAAACAUAAAGAACUUUAUUCUCAGAUACCUGCCUAACCAAACUAACUUGGUCCCAAUUUUCAUAAGUAGUCAAAUUUAAUGCAUUAUUGUUCACUUGACAAAUAUGAACCUUCAUCUUGGGAGUCCUUUCAGCCACAAAAACCAGUGAGGUCCCCCUCCAGGAGUUCCCAGCUCCUUAAACUUCUGCUGACCCAGGUGCUGACUCAGAAAGAAAUAGAAGGAUGUGGUCGACUACCUUCUAUACAUUUCAGGCAAGCAAUGGAUUGUCAAAAGGAAGUUAAUAAUAAAGUUUGGGGAUAGAAAGAAGAAAGGGACUAUAUAAGGAAAUACCCAAAGGAGAAUCUAAUUUUCUGAUCCUGGCAUCAAACCAAAAAGUGUUGCCUGAUUUUCCAAUGUAUCUUAAAAAGCUUGAAAUGAGGAACAGCACAGAAUCAAGCUAAGAAGAUGGAAGGUCUUGCAAGAAGGGAUAUUGAGAAGGGAAAGACAUUUAGAGAGAGACAGCUGAAGAUACGGGGAAAAAAAACUGAAGGUAGAGGAAAUUCAUGAGCAUAUGAAGGAUCAUGAGAAAUUCCUGAAAGCAGAUGUCCAGAGGCAAACUGGCAAAAAGAAUAAAUGAUGUUGAAGACUUAAAGAAAAUGGAAUUAACAAGAUGGUAGGAAUAGCUUGGGCAUCAGUUGAAGAUUAGAGAACAGCAACUAAGAUGUGAAAUAAGGAAAAAGGAGAACAAAUCUCUAAAUGAGCAGCAGCUGCAUGGUUAAAAAAAAAAGUGGAAGAGAGGAAAUAAAAGCCUUUGAAAAAAAGAAGCAGCAGAGAUCUGGGGAACUGGGGAGAUGAGAGAAAAUGUUCUGAGGGAUAGAGAACAGAUACAACUUAAGAAGGGUUUGCUGGAGGCAUAGCUGAGGAACUAUGAACAAUAGAAGGGUCUCCCUAUCUAACCCAAGUGGGAAAUUAAGUGUCACUUACAGGCCAGCCCCAACUACUUACUGAUUGGCAUGAGAGCUUUUGAAGUAACUCCAUUUCUUCUCUGGGCCACUUUAACCAGGAGAUUUCCUCUUCCAAAGGGCUCAUUAAUAUUGGUGCUAGACUUAGUGUGGACACCCAAUUGGCCUUAGCCCACUGCAGUUCAGAACUUCUCGACUUAAUUGAUCUGCUAGCAUCAGUCUUCCUGGUAACAAGAAUAAUAAGUAUAUACUAUCAAACCCAGAUAAGAGAAUAGCUACUAAAAAUAUGUAGAGGAGACUAUUUUGGAUAUGAGAACAGAAUAGUUCACCCAUGAAAUACAGAUGUAAUUACAAAAAAUGAGGAAAUUGAAACUGAUAAGAACAGCCAAAGAGUUAUGAAUAACAAAAAAAGUGACGAGAAGAGUGUGACAAGAUGCUAGAACUGUCUAUAACAGAAAUGAAAGACAAGUACAGGGAAAAGGAGAAUCAAAGAAGACUGGAGCAGGGAGAAUGUAGCUGUGUGGACUAUUUUCUCUGAGGAGAAACAAAACAGAAGAUACUGGUGAGGGGAAGUGAUGAAGUCAUGAAAAGACAGAAAAGGAGAGGAGAAUAUAUGAAGAUGAUGACAAGGAUAACAAACAGAAAACUGGAGAAACAAAACAAAUUGUUAAAGAGCUGUGAACAAAAGAAGAAGAAAAAGAAGCAAGCGAUACUACAAUAAUUCAGAAAUCUUAUAAAAUAGAAAACUGAAGAGGACAUAGAAUAUGAAGGAGCAGGUUUAUGUAAAUAGCUGAAAAAUCAGAAAAAAAAAUAGAAAAGACAGGAGGAGACAAAAAUGGAGUAAGGAGCUGAGAGUGUCCAAGUAGUAAAACACAAGAGAAGAUAAGUAAAGGAUAUGAAAAUAGAGAAGGCAGGAGCAGAAAUUUUGAAAGUGUGAGGGACAACAAAAGAAAAUAACCAAAAAAGAAUACAUGAAUGAUAGGAGCAUAUGAAGAGUCCUGAAAAAAUAAAAGGAACUAAAAAGAAAAGCAAGAAGAAAUGGAAAUUCUUGAACAGCUGGGGAAAAAAAGAAAAGCAGGUGAAAAGGGGAAAUGGCAUUUAAACCUGAAGAUAAAAGACAAGGAAUCAUGAUUAAAAGAGCAGAGCAGGAGGAGAAGGGAGAAUAUACAGGAACCAAGGAGAUAGGAGCUUUUAUGGAUCUUUGAACAAUGGAGAAAGGAGAGAUAAAGGAGAAAUGGAAAGUUGAAACAAAGCUAGGGAAAAAUGACAAUAGCUAAGAAAAUUGGAGAAGCACAAGAGAUUGAAGUAGAAAAAUGAGAGCAGUUAAGGAACUGUGAAUGGAGAAAAGAGCAGUUUGGAAGCCCUGGAGAAAAGCAAAGAGUAGAAAGAAGUUGAUGAGAAUCCACCAGAGAAAUGGGAGCAUGGAGAAACCAAAGCAACAGAAUAAAGCUCCAUUUAGAAGGAGCAGAGGCUUAUGGGAAUAGAUAAUGAGCACAGCUAAGGAGCUAUGAACAACAGAAAAGAGCUGAGGAGGAGGAAAGAGCAGUGUAGAUUAAAGCAGGUGAAGUAGAAUUAGGGGAAAAAAUGAGAAGCAGAGCUGAGAACAGAAAAGCAGAACAAAUUGAAUCAGAAUGAAUUAAACAGUUGAAAAAGUCUGAGACACAGAACAGCAGCUAAGGAAAAAGUCCACAGAAACAAUUUCUUAAGCACGUGCCCAGGUACUGUGCUAAGUAUUAAGGAUUUUUUUAAAAAGGAAAAACAGAGGAAUUAGUGAAAACAACCAGAGAGAGAGAGAGAGAGAGAAUAGUAACUGAAGGAUCAUCUAUUAUAGAGGAAAGGAAGGAAAGAGUAGUAAAAAUUAAAGCAGGCUAAGAGAUAUGAAAAUCAAAAGAGGAUCAGAGGAAAAUGGAGAGGCAAAAGAGAGAAGGAAAAUGAACACAGGAGACAUUGAGAAGCUCCUCAGAACAGAACAGCUAAGGAGAAAGCAGCAGAGAAAAGUACAGCAGAAACACAAUAGCAGCUGAAGAGGCCUACAUAACAGAUGAAAGGAAAUCUAUAAAGGGGAAGGCUAGGCUUCUGAAACCUGAGUUUUGGGAGCAGAACCAAGAGUAGAAAAACUUCCAAAGAGAGGUGAUGGGAAGUGACAGAAAAGCUGUAAAAGGAAAAAGAAAAGCAAUAGAAAUUUAAUCAAGUAAUGAAAUCAGAUAAUUCAACAAAAAUUUGUUGAAUUAAGAAAAUUAAAUCAAAGGGAGCAGCAAAAGAACCAAGAACAGAAUGAACAGAAUUGAGAAGAAAGGAUAAGCCAAAGAUAAUAGAACAGAAAAUUGGGAAGUAACUGAGUAGUUGUGGAAAAUAAAAAGAGAUGAAAAGAGACAAAGGUUAAUGGGAAGAUAAUACCAACCAGAGCUGCUAAGGAAACUAGAAUGAGGAGAUUGGAGGCACUUUAGAACAGGAUACAAUUGAGAACAAAGAAGUAAAGGGGACUUCAAAGUUGAUAGAAGUGAAGAAAACCUGUCAAGUCAAAGACAAACUAUUGUGACAAAGAGCAGCAUCUAAAACUUGAAAGAAAUGGUAGUUAGGAAACCAAAGCUUCAUCUGUGUACAGAAGGAAGGAAUCUCUUAAAAAUCCUUCCCUUCAAUAUCUCUUUACCACCUUUCCCUCAACAUUUUCACCUAGAUAAAUGGGGGCUUCCUCAAGGGUUCUGAGAGACGACAGUGUCCUCUCAGCAUGAGAUGGUAUUCUUUUUCUGAUAGACUUAGACACUCAACACUAUCUCACUUCCCUGACCCCAGCAUGCCGAGGAGUUCAGAGCAGACCAUUCCUCACAGCUGUUCCCACCUGAAGAAGCAAGUGAAAGCUGAAGUGAUGACCAGAGACCCAGUAGUCCCUCUUGCUUCUCCAGUGUGUUCAGAUUUUGUCUGCAUUUACCCCACUAUUUGCUUCUAAUGACCUAUUUGCAUCUAUCUAAUUACUCUUUUUAGUCUCUCACAUUUUUCAUUUCCUGCUCUUUGUUCCUCCUCUCUUUCACCUCUUGCCAUACACUCUACUCCUCUUGUUAAAAUGAGUCUCCUUUUCAAGUGAUUCCAACACAGUAGCACCCAUCCCAGCUAAUGUGUGAUUCCUGCAUCCUCUGCUGCUUCUCUUUCACAAGCUCAUUCUAUUGUAUUGAUUCAUAUAACUACAAUUUCUACAUUUCCUUGCUCCUCCUUCCAUUCUCCUUUAUUUCUACCUUUUGUCUUGUUUCCAUUGCUUCAACUGUCACUUCAUUUUGUAUUUCUCUACCACCUCCUUAGCCCAGGUCUGAAUUUUUAGCUGCUUCACCCCUUAAAAAUUCUAUAUUCCUUUCCAAGCCCCCCCUUUUAAUUCACUCAAAUAUGUUUUACAAAGUUGUGUUCCAAUGCCGCCUCAGAGCAUGGAAAUGACUCUUGGUUUUCAAAGUGGCAUGCUGGCAUGGUGCAAAGUCUGCUAGGACCUACAAUGUUCAAAUAUGUUUUCAACUCAAAAUUAUCUAAUUUCCAAGAAGCAUUCAGGGUUUGAGAACAAGAAAUGAAAGAUCAGGGUCUUGUAGACUACAGAAAUUUAUCCCUAUGUAUUAUAAAUUCAUUCUUCAAUUUGGGCAUACUCAGAUAAUUGGGAAAGCAUUAAAAACACAAAAUUAAUUUUACCAGCCAGGAAAUGAAGUUGGCUGAUGCUGGAAUCACACUUGAAUUAUCUUUCUGCAGUGAAAUGCUUGUAAGAGUGUUAAGGGACAGGUCAAUUUUCUGAGAGCCUCCAUAGCUGUGGAUCAUAACAUCUGAAGGGAUUG